UACGUAGGGGCCGAGCGUUGUCCGGAGUUACUGGGCGUAAAGCGCGCGCAGGCGGCCACUUAAGCCCGGCGUGAAAGCCCCCGGCUCAACCGGGGAGGGUCGUCGGGGACUGGGUGGCUUGAGGACGGCAGGGGCUGGUGGAAUCCCCGGUGUAGUGGUGAAAUGCGUAGAGAUCGGGGGGAACACCCGUGGCGAAGGCGGCCAGCUGGGCCGGUCCUGACGCUGAGGCGCGAAAGCCAGGGAGCGAACGGG
rnacentral:rRNA from 1 species